UUAAUUAAUUUUGACAAUUUAAAUGGUUAUUUUAAAGAUGAUCCCAAUGAGUUCAUAUAAUUAACAUAAACUGAUACUUAGAUACAGUAAGAUUCAUUAAAUACAUUAUCUAUUUAACAACAGAAGGGCUGGUAUUGACGUCACCAGGAAGUUGACGUGAAACUUUCCUCGUGAACGUUCUGUUUACAGUUUGACAGUUGACAGACAGUUCAUUCAUUCACGAAGCUAAAGACAUGACUAUGAUCGCCCUCCGUGGCACAAUUUAAAUCCUACAGAAAGCAUAAGUCUUUUCACACCAUCUUUAAUGGAGCAAUAAAUGAGCACGGCUGCUCGUAUCUUCUUCAA